rnacentral:rRNA from 1 species
UGAGGAAUAUUGGGCAAUGCCCGCAAGGGUGACCCAGCAACGCCGCGUGGAGGAUGAAUGUCGUAAGAUUGUAAACUCCUGUUAGAGGGGAAGAAUAGUACCGGUUGGACCGGUAUAUGACUGUACCCUCAGAGAAAGCCCCGGCUAACUUCGUGCCAGCAGCCGCGGUAAUACGAAGGGUGCAAGCGUUACUCGGAAUUACUGGGCGUAAAGCGUGCGUAGGUGGUUGUUUAAGUCUGAUGUGAAAGCCCUGGGCUCAACCUGGGAAUGGCAUUGGAAACUGGGCAGCUAGAGUGCGGUAGAGGGUAGUGGAAUUCCCGGUGUAGCAGUGAAAUGCGUAGAGAUCGGGAGGAACAUCUGUGGCGAAGGCGACUGCCUGGACCAGCACUGACACUGAGGCACGAAAGCGUGGGGAGCAAACA